rnacentral:rRNA from 1 species
AGCGUAGGCGGCCGAUUAAGUUGGAUGUGAAAUCCCCGGGCUUAACUUGGGUGGUGCAUCCAAUACUGGUUGGCUAGAGUACAGGAGAGGAAAGCGGAAUUCCUGGUGUAGCGGUGAAAUGCAUAGAUAUCAGGAGGAACAUCGGUGGCGAAGGCGGCUCUCUGGACUGACACUGACGCUGAGGCUCGAAAGCGUGGGGAGCAAACA